GAAACUCGAAAUUUCGGUCCGUUUGAGGUACAGCAUCAAUGGACGACGUCAGAUGCAGGGAAUCUUGUUCGACAGCUCAACCUAUCCUAUGAGAAAGGAGAGCAAAAGACUGAUCAGAUCGUGCGUCAGUUCUGUGUGAACCUAUGGAAGCCCGGCUCGGUGGUACCGGCCUCAGCAGAGCGGUUGAUCAACCUGCAGAAGACUGUUCAGGAAUGGCAGAGACAGAAUGACAACAGGCCCAUCAUCGUCCACUGCGUGAAUGGCGUGGACAAAACCGUGCUGCUGUGUACCUGUUUCACUGUGUUGGAGAAACUAAAAGCGGAACAUAUGAUCAGUG